GAAAUGCGAUAAGUAAUGUGAAUUGCAGAAUUCAGUGAAUCAUCGAAUCUUUGAACGCACAUUGCGCCCGCCAGCACUCUGGCGGGCAUGCCUGUUCGAGCGUCAUUUCAACCCUCAGAACCCCUUGCGGGAUCUGGCGUUGGGGAUUGGCAUCCAGACAGCCCCGAAAUCUAGUGGCGGUCCCUCCGCGACCUCCCCUGUGCAGUAGCGAUACCUCGCAGCGGGACAGCGGUCUGACCACGCCGUAAAACCCCCAACUUCUCAAGGUUGACCUCGAAUCAGGUAGGAAUACCCGCUGAACUUAAGC
rnacentral:misc_RNA from 1 species